rnacentral:tRNA from 1 species
UCCCUGGUGGCUUAGAUGGUAAAAGCAUCUGCUUGCAAUUUGGGAGACCCAGGUUCAAUCCCUGGGUGGGAAA